rnacentral:rRNA from 1 species
CCUACGGGAGGCAGCAGUGGGGGAUAUUGCACAAUGGGGGAAACCCUGAUGCCGCGACGCCGCGUGUGGGAAGACGGUCCUCUGGAUUGUAAACCACUGUCCCCAGGGACGAAGAUGACGGUACCUGGGGAGGAAGCUCCGGCUAACUACGUGCCAGCAGCCGCGGUAAUACGUAGGGAGCGAGCGUUGUCCGGAAUUACUGGGUGUAAGGGGAGCGUAGGCGGGACUGCAAGUUGGGUGUCAAAUCUACCGGCUCAACCGGUAGCCGCACUCAAAACUGCAGUUCUUGAGUGAAGUAGAGGCAGGCGGAAUUCCUAGUGUAGCGGUGAAAUGCGUAGAGAUUAGGAAGAACACCAGUGGCGAAGGCGAUUCUCUGGACUGUAACUGACGCUGAGGCUCGAAAGCGUGGGGAGCAAACAGGAUUAGAUACCCGGGUAGUC